rnacentral:lncRNA from 1 species
AUUUGCUGUAGGCUAGAGAAAUAAAUAAAUGAAUAUAGACUGACCAUUUUUUUGCGGGACAAAUGGUGUUCCUUUUUGGAAUCCUCAUCGCGUAAAACAAUGACGCCUUUGCUUUCGUAAAACAACAUAUUUAGUCGCAUGUUUAUUUUCAUUUUUCAAAUUCCUCAAAGCAACCUAGGCUACAGGUGAUAGAAGGCCUUUUCCAACCAAAGAACAAACUUUGUUUUAAGCGAAAAAUAUAGCCCUACUCAAGGUAAAGAAAAUUCUAUUAAUGGAAGUUGAUUAAUAGGAUAGAAUGAUGGUGGAAUAAUAUGUAUGUUUUCACUAUCUGUAGCGUGUGUCUGUGGUUGACAACGUCCCUUACAUUUCCUCCAUAUUAUGCCUAGUGCUCUUUCGGUCUACCUCUCUUCUCUCUUGAGUCUUUUUGACCGAUCUACGUCUUGCUCAUUUUCAGAUGGAGUUAGUGUCAGGUUACCGUGACCGGAUGAUUGAGUUCUCCGAGGCUAUGGCACAGUGGUAUCGCUGCUUCCAGACCACCCGUAGGGGGCGCAAAGAACCACAUAGUGAUUUCUGGGGGUACGAUUUUCCCCGAUACCACAUGGACCGCUCACCGUACUGGAUACUGCACCUGCUGGAUUGCGCUGCAACGCCCCCUGCAGCCAUUCCACGGAUGGAACAGGCUGGAGUGGAUCCCUCCGAGCUCAUAAGUAGUGAAGGAGAGAGUGUUCUGAUGGUGACGGAUGCCUCUGGCCUGCCCCUGGGCUUUGACGUGCUGGCCGGUGGCUGGGCGGGGGCGCUGGGUGGGGGCGAGGCGGCGGGUGGAGAUGGGAAGGGGGCCCUGGAGACAAUCCAGAAGAUGGUAGGACUGCUGAGACGCUGCAUGGAGGCCCCCAUGACUGGCGGGUUGCCUCGGAGACCACACAUGCUCCACGUCAAUGACAAGAAGCUUCACAGGUACAAACUCAGACAAAAGGGUUCUAAAAGGGUUCUUUACGGAAGGAUAGGGUUCUACCAAUCAUUUUUUGGAAGACGAGGG